UACGAACCGUGCGAACGUUGUUCGGAUUCACUGGGCUUAAAGGGCGCGUAGGCGGUCGACCAAGUCUGGGGUGAAAUCUUUCGGCUUAACCGGAAAAGUGCCCCCGAUACUGGCCGGCUAGAGGGAGAUAGGGGCAUGUGGAACUUCCGGUGGAGCGGUGAAAUGCGUAGAUAUCGGUUGGAACGCCAAUGGUGAAAACAGCUCGCUGGGGACGUACCGACGCUGAGACACGAAAGCCAGGGGAGCGAACGGG
rnacentral:rRNA from 1 species